GACGAACUGUGCAAACGUUAUUCGGAAUCACUGGGCUUGAAGAGUGCGUAGGCGGUUUUGUAAGUAGGGGGUGAAAGCCCCCGGCUCAACCGGGGAAUUGCGCCCUAAACUGCAAGGCUUGAGUGAGGUAGGGGUGUGUGGAACUUCCAGUGGAGCGGUGAAAUGCGCAGAUAUCAGGAGGAACACCAAUGGCGAAGGCAGCUCGCUGGGACGUGACUGACGCUGAGACGCGAAAGCGUGGGGAGCAAACAGG
rnacentral:rRNA from 1 species